rnacentral:rRNA from 1 species
AGCGUGGCGGGAGACAGUGUCAGGUAGGCAGUUUGACUGGGGCGGUCGCCUCCCAAACAGUAACGGAGGCGCCCAAAGGUUCCCUCAGAAUGGUUGGAAAUCAUUCAACGAGUGUAAAGGCAGAAGGGAGCUUGACUGCGAGACAGACAGGUCGAGCAGGGACGAAAGUCGGGCUUAGUGAUCCGGUGGUACCGUAUGGAAGGGCCAUCGCUCAACGGAUAAAAGCUACCCUGGGGAUAACAGGCUUAUCUCCCCCAAGAGUCCACAUCGACGGGGAGGUUUGGCACCUCGAUGUCGGCUCAUCGCAUCCUGGGGCUGUAGUCGGUCCCAAGGGUUGGGCUGUUCGCCCAUUAAAGCGGUACGCGAGCUGGGUUCAGAACGUCGUGAGACAGUUCGGUCCCUAUCCGUCGCGGGCGUAGGAAAUUUGAGAGGAGCUGUCCUUAGUACGAGAGGACCGGGAUGGACAUACCGCUGGUGUACCAGUUGCGCCGCCAGGCGCACCGCUGGGUAGCUACGUAUGGAUGAGAUAAACGCUGAAAGCAUCUAAGUGUGAAACUUACCUCAAGAUGAGAUUUCCCAUUCCUAUAUGGAAGUAAGACCCCUGAGAGAUGAUCAGGUAGAUAGGUUGGAAGUGGAAGUGCAGUGAUGUACGGAGCGGACCAAUACUAAUCGGUCGAGGACUUAACCAAG